CGUAGGGUGCAAGCGUUGUCCGGAAUUAUUGGGCGUAAAGAGCUCGUAGGCGGUCUGUCGCGUCGGCUGUGAAAUCCCGAGGCUCAACCUCGGGUCUGCAGUCGAUACGGGCAAACUAGAGUGUUGCAGGGGAGACUGGAAUUCCUGGUGUAGCGGUGAAAUGCGCAGAUAUCAGGAGGAACACCGGUGGCGAAGGCGGGUCUCUGGGCAACAACUGACGCUGAGGAGCGAAAGCGUGGGAGCGAACAGGAUU
rnacentral:rRNA from 1 species